AUGCAAGGAUUGCAAGGCCCGGUAUACACCUGGAUUGCUCGCAGCGGAGUAAACGCCGGCCAUCGCUUCUACAAGUGCGUUAAUAGGGAUAAGGGGAUUUGUGGAUACAUGACGUCGAGCGAGGAGUAUCGGGCGGAGCUGAAUGCAGACACGCUUGCCACUGCUGAAGACUCGCCUCAUCAGGCCGCAUCUUACAUGCACCGGAGAGCCAGGGCAGGUGAAUCAAUGGAGGAAUGGAGCCGUGGAGUCGUGCUUGUGAGGAAUGGCCCCGAUGAGCACCCCGAAUGGAAAGGGCACGCUCGGUUGAGCACAGGAGGAAGAGCCUCGUCCACGUCAAGCGUCCUUAUUGCACUAGUUGCUGCCAUCUUGGUGGUUGUGGUGUUUAUGUUAGCAGUUCUAGUCAAGAUAGCGUAUCUGCUUAGCAGGUUGUAA
rnacentral:rRNA from 1 species